rnacentral:rRNA from 1 species
AACCGAGCUUUCGACCGCGACCCCAGGUCAAACGGGAUCACCCGCUGAGUUUAAGCAUAUC